rnacentral:lncRNA from 1 species
AACAGUCUCCGUUGUUGGUGUGGUGUAGUGCAUACAGUUCAUGUUUUCUGUUGGUAACGGGAGCAGAGUGAGUUUGUUCAUUUUUGUGUUUUGAUUUCUGUUCAUUUGAUUUCUGUUGUUGCAUUUUCAUUUGUGCACCACUCGUCUCCCUUCCUGGGAGCCCCGGGAGAGGGAGAAGAAUCCCGAGGCCAGAAUCGCAUCCUGGAUGGGGACUUCCUGGGGCGGGACUGACUGCCGGUCCCCCAAGCCCUCUGUGUCCCCAGUGGCUCCUGCGUCCCUCAGCAGAGCGGGGCAGGAGGUGUCCAUGGCGGCUCCUGGGGCCCGAGCUGAGAAGGCUGUCAGGUGGGACAGGUGCUGUCUGCACGGGGGAGGGAGAAAGGGUUUUCACUGGGAGAUUCAGCCUGCGGGGGACUCAGCUGUGGCGCCUCUGUGUGCAGGGGAGGGGCCAUGGCAGUGCGGGCCCUUCUGUCCUGUGCACAGGGGCUCUGCUGGCCUGUCUGUGGUGGCUCUCCAAGAUUCAAGACCCAAAGAAGCCCAGAAACCUGAUCUGCACCAGCAAGAAGACUUCCUGUGGAAGGACCUCUUGGUGGCCAUGGCUCCUGUGCUGGAGGCCCCUGGCCCAUUCCCCAUGGGUGUGGACGGAGGUCACCACCAUCGUCCACUGGAAGAUGGACUCCAAGAUGCCCAGCUCAGAAUCCUCGCCCUUCCAGAAGAGGUGUUGACUGUCCCUUGUCCUCGCUGUUCCAAGGACAGGACCCUGUGCCUUCUCUGGCUGCCCCCAGGACCAAACGAUCUACCACCACGAGAAGGACUCCAAGACCCCCAGCUUCCGAAUCCUCGCCCUUCAGGAACAGGUGUUGAAUGUCCUUCGUCCUCGCUGCAAACAGGAGAGGACCCCGUGUCUUCUCUGGCUGCCCCCAGGUCACCACGAUUGUCCACAGGAAGAUGGACUCUGAGACACCCAGCUUAGAAUCCUCGCCCUUCCAGAAGAGGUGUAGAAUGUCGCUCAUCCUCGCUGCCCCCAGGACAGGACCCCAGCUUCUCUCCCUGCCCCCAGGUCACCACGAUCAUCCACUGGAAGAUGGACUCCUAGACGCCCAGCUCAGAAUCCUCGCCCUUCCAGAAGAGGUGUUGAGUGUCCCUCGUCCUCGCUGCCCCCAGAUAGGACCCUGUGGCUUCUCUGGCUGCCCCCAGGAGAAACGAUCGACCACCAUGAGAAGGACUCCAACAGCCCAUCUUCAGAAUCCUCGCCCUUCCAGAAGAGGUGUUGAAUGUCCCUCGUCCUCGCCGCCCCCUGAACAGGACCUCGUGGCUUCUCUGGCUGCCCAGAGGUCACCACGAUCGUCCUAAGGAAAAUGAACUCGGACACGCCCAGCCUCAGAAUUCUCGCCCUUCCAGAAGAGGUGUUGAAUGUCCCUCGUCCUCACUGCCCCAAGGACAGGACCCCGUGGCUGCUCCGUCCCCGGGGAGCAGCUGCUGCCUGGGAAGAACCUCGUUGCCUCUGUUGGUGCCCAUGGAUUGCCCUGCACUACUGCCUCUGUGCCUGCAAGUUAACUGAUUUAUGAGUUUAAAAGAAAUCCAUUAGGUCAUAAAUUUGUGGCUGGAGAAACAUGAUUGCUCAGUGUGGGUUCGGGCACCUGUGCUCACACACGGGGAGCGGAGCGCUGGGAGCCUGGAGGAGGCAGCUUGGAGCCGCGCCCGGGGCCUGGGCUGAGUCCUGGCUCCUGUGCCCCCGGCUGGCACUGCCUUGGUUUCCCAGCCCCUGGGACUCUGUUUCUGGGUCUGUCAAGGGGGUGUGAGUGACAGGAGCACCUGCCUCCCAGGAAGCACCCGGAACAGCACCAGACUUCCCUGGCUGCUGGGUAGGGCUGGGUCCUUAGAGGCGAUUAGCUGACUGGGCGGGGUUCUGGGAGCUGUCAGCCUCUGUGGGUCUUGGGCUGUGGGGGAGCUGGCUCCUUCCUGUGACCCCC